rnacentral:rRNA from 1 species
AUGGGCGUCGUGCUAAUAUCGGUGGGAGCCACCGGUUGGGACGGCACACCAGGGCUCGUUCAUGGUGAAGAGCCGAAAUUGGGAAAUUCGGAAGUUCGGGACACUUCGCAUUCGAGCCCUUGCUGUCCCAAAGGCCUAAACCAAACCCUAGAUCAGUGCGACGGCCAUCGAUUCACCGCCGGCCGUUUUCCCCUCCAACAUCUCGUCUUCAGUGAUCGACUGCUCGCCGCCACCUCUCUCGCGAUGUCGUCCUCGAAGCCGCGCCCCGCCGCCUCCAGCUCCGGCGACCUGCCCGCGGACGCUCUGUACGAGGUCCUCCUCCGCAUCCCGGCCAAGGACCUCUGCCGCCUCCGCGCCGUCUGCCCCUCCUGGCGCGCCCUCACCUCCGACCCAUUCUUCAUCGCGGCGCACAUGUGCCGCCACCACACGGCGCCCCCGCUCCUCGCCAUUGCCUACCGCGACGACGGUGAGGUCAACAGCGUUGCUAUUUCGGAUCUGUCGGGCAACAUCGUGAAGAGGUUUCCAAGCAACGGCUAUGAGAUUGUUUUGGUCAACGAGUCGGGUGAUGCCGUUCGCCGGCUCACAAGCAAGGGCGAUAUCAUCCGUGUUGCACGCACGCGGCUAGACCUCGUCUGUUUCAACUGGGUUUUGUUCUCUCAGGUUUUCUGGGUGCUGAACCCGGCCAGUGGAGCUACCAUCACCUUGCCGAUUGAUUUUUCAGAGGAAUUGGUGCAUGAGCUAGAGGUGAAGGGAAUGAACAAAUGGCACUGCCAAAUCCAGUCGUGUGCAAUUGGGCAGGUCUCCUCUACCAGAGAGUACAAGGCACUACGUGUCUCUAGAAUUGGUGACCGGCAGGUAUGUGAGAUUAUCACCUUUGAUGACAUGAACAAUGGAAGCUGGAGGAGAAAACAGGACCCUCCGUCCCAUAUCUGUAGCGGUCACAAGAUGAGAUGGGUGGUCGUCCAUGGGAUGGUGUACUUCUUGAUGGACUUUUACUCCACAUACGUUGAAACUGGGGUUAUAACCAUUGAGCCUGGCAGCAUAGCUUGUUUCAACCUUGAGACGGAAGAGUGGGGUGUUCUACGUGGUCCAGAACAGGUGCAGAUGUUUGUGCAAGAGAACGAGGAUUGCAGUUACUCAAAACUUGAACUCCAGUUAUCAUUGGCUGAGUUGAAUGGUUGUUUGGUUAUGGUUCACAAUAUUCAUAACAUAUCUAUGGACUUGUGGUUUCUGACAGAUUUUGAGAAAGUUAUCUGGGUUAAGAAAUACAGCAUGCCUUCACGUGUUGCUAGGCCUUUUAGUUACCCUUUUCUGAUGUUCGAUGAUGGGAAGAUCUUCUUCAGUGCAGAGGGUAAUCUACAAGGUAUCCUUUGUAAUGGAGAGCCAGGAGAGGGAUUUCUGCUAAGUUAUGAUCCAAGACAUGACACUUAUCCCGAUUCGCUAAAACUGAGAGACCCCAAUUCCAUUGGCAUUUAUACAGGAAGCCUGCUGAGUUUAUAG